CACUCUUUUCGCCGAUUUGGCAUGGUUGGACCCGAGGAGCUUUGAACAGAUUCGGACAACUACUCUUCCCAACAAUGCUUUGGUCUUGAGCAGAUGUCUGGUGAAAUUCGACAGUAGUGCAACAGUGGACAAUCUUCAAUCAGAGCUGAAAUGUUUAGCAGGACAGUGGAACAGACUGAAAGCAUCCCAUCUUGAGGAUUACAUGACCAGAACAGUGGAAGAUGGAGCUGAAGGACAAGAAGAGGAAACAGAUAUUGUGGAAAAAACCUGUGCCUCCUGUAAAAAUUGCCCACUGUGCUGCUAUCAGAUUCUCAAGCGGCUCAACAUGCUCUCAGAUGCCUAUCAUCUCCUAGGGCUUGCUUAUAAGUUCUUGCUGACCCUUUCCCUGACCCAGGUGGCCUGUGAAAGAACAUUCUCUACCCUCAAGUUAAUCAAAAGCAGACUUAGGAGCAACCUGUCAGCAAGCAAGCUGGAGGCCUUUAUGUUGAUGGCCACUGAGAAAGACAUCCUCAUGGCAUUGGACACAGACACAGUCAUAGAUACGGUGGCUGAGAAGAGUGAAUCACAGAAAGCUGCUCUUGUAAGGAUGCCUUCACUUGUUUGUUGUAGGAGGAGUUCUUCAGGGGAUGACUUGCAUCCCUUUUCCUUGAGUUCAAAGUUCAUUGAGGAGUUCAGCUACAUUCAUCCUUUUGGGGACUGG